rnacentral:rRNA from 1 species
AGGACGAACGCCGGCGGCGUGCUUAACACAUGCAAGUCGAGCGGUGAUCCUCCUUCGGGAGGUGAUCAGCGGCGAACGGGUGAGUAACACGUGGGCAACCUGCCCCUCACACUGGGAUAACCUCGGGAAACCGGGGCUAAUACCGGAUACGACCUCGAGCGGCAUCUCUUGAGGUGGAAAGCUCCGACGGUGAGGGAUGGGCCCGCGGCCUAUCAGCUUGUUGGUGGGGUAAUGGCCUACCAAGGCGACGACGGGUA